rnacentral:misc_RNA from 1 species
GUUAAGGGGAAAACUGUUGAAGUGGGAAGAGCGCAUUUUGAAACUGAGACCACAAGGUUUACAAUUUUGGAUGCUCCGGGUCACAAAAGUUAUGUCCCGAAUAUGAUCAGUGGGGCAUCCCAAGCUGAUAUAGGGGUUCUGGUAAUUUCUGCUAGGAAAGGAGAAUUUGAAACUGGAUAUGAGAGAGGUGGACAGACUCGUGAGCAUGUUUUGCUGGCAAAGACUUUGGGUGUUGCUAAGCUUCUUGUUGUGGUGAAUAAGAUGGAUGAUCACACAGUACAAUGGUCAAAAGAAAGGUAUGAUGAGAUAGAGUCUAAGAUGGCACCCUUCUUGAAGUCAUCUGGUUACAAUGUAAAGAAAGAUGUCCAAUUUUUACCUAUAUCUGGUCUUCAUGGUGUUAAUAUGAAAACAAGAGUGGAUAAGAAAGUAUGUCCGUGGUGGAAUGGUCCGUGCUUCUUUGAAAUCCUUGAUACAAUUGAAGGUCCACCAAGAAAUCCAAAAGAUCCAUUUAGGAUGCCUAUCAUCGACAAGUUCAAGGACAUGGGAACAACUGUUAUGGGUAAAGUCGAA